rnacentral:rRNA from 1 species
UGGGGAAUUUUGCACAAUGGAGGAAACCCUGAUGCAGCGACGCCGCGUGUACGAUGAAGAUCUUCGGAUUGUAAAGUACUGUCCUUGGUGAAGAUAAUGACUGUAACCAAGAAGCAAGCCCUGGCUAAAUACGUGCCAGCAGCCGCGGUAAUACGUAUGGGGCAAGCGUUGUCCGGAAUUAUUGGGCGUAAAGGGUACGUAGGCGGUUAUUUAAGUCUAAAUUAAAAGGCAUUGGCUCAACCAAUGUAAGGUUUAGAUACUGGAUAACUUGAGUAGAUGAGGGGAAAGUGGAAUUCCAUGUGUAGCGGUGAAAUGCGUAGAUAUAUGGAGGAACACCAAUGGCGAAGGCAACUUUCUGGAAUCAAACUGACGCUGAGGUACGAAGGCGUGGGGAGCAAACAGG